rnacentral:rRNA from 1 species
AAAAGCGGAGCCGUAGCGAAAGCGAGUCUGAAUAGGGCGAAUAAGUAACAGGUCGUAGACCCGAAACCAGGUGAUCUACCCAUGUCCAGGAUGAAGGUAAGGUAAUACUUACUGGAGGUCCGAACCCACGCACGUUGAAAAGUGCGGGGAUGAGGUGUGGGUAGCGGAGAAAUUCCAAUCGAACUUGGAGAUAGCUGGUUCUCUCCGAAAUAGCUUUAGGGCUAGCCUCGAGGUAAAGAGUCAUGGAGGUAGAGCACUGUUUGGACUAGGGGCCCUUCUCGGGUUACCGAAUUCAGAUAAACUCCGAAUGCCAUGUACUUAUACUCGGGAGUCAGACUGCGAGUGAUAAGAUCCGUAGUCGAAAGGGAAACAGCCCAGACCACCAGUUAAGGUCCCAAAAUAUAUGUUAAGUGGAAAAGGAUGUGGGGUUGCUUAGACAACCAGGAUGUUGGCUUAGAAGCAGCCACCAUUGAAAGAGUGCGUAAUAGCUCACUGGUCGAGUGACCCCGCGCCGAAAAUGUACCGGGGCUAAACAUAUUACCGAAACUGUGGAUGAACCUCAUUAGAGGUUCGUGGUAGGAGAGCGUUCUAAGGGCGGUGAAGUCAGACCGGAAGGACUGGUGGAGCGCUUAGAAGUGAGAAUGCCGGUAUGAGUAGCGAAAGAAGGGUGAGAAUCCCUUCCACCGAAUAUCUAAGGUUUCCUGAGGAAGGCUCGUCCGCUCAGGGUUAGUCGGGACCUAAGCCGAGGCCGAUAGGCGUAGGCGAUGGACAACAGGUAGAGAUUCCUGUACCAGUGCUAAUUGUUUAACCGAUGGGGUGACACAGAAGGAUAGGGAAUCGCACGAAUGGAAAUGUGCGUCCAAGCAGUGAGUGUGAGAAGUAGGCAAAUCCGCUUCUCACGAAGCAUGAGCUGUGAUGGGGAAGGAAAUUAAGUACGGAAGUUCCUGAUUUCACGCUGUCAAGAAAAGCCUCUAGGAAGAGUAGUACUGCCCGUACCGCAAACCGACACAGGUAGAUGAGGAGAGAAUCCUAAGGUGAGCGAGAGAACUCUCGUUAAGGAACUCGGCAAAAUGACCCCGUAACUUCGGGAGAAGGGGUGCUCUAUUAGGGUG